rnacentral:rRNA from 1 species
UCUAAGCACAUGCCUUAAAACGGUGAAGCCGCGAAUAGCUCAUUACAACAGCCAUCGUUUAUUAGAAUAUCGUUAUCCUACUUGGAUAACUGUGGCAAUUCUAGAGCUAAUACAUGCAAUAAAGCUCUGCCCGCAAGGAACGAGCGCAUUUAUUAGAAUAAAAACCAAUCGGGUUUCGGCCCGUAAUUUGGUGAAUCUGAAUAACUUUGCCAAUCGCACAGUCCUAGUACUGGCGAUGUAUCUUUCAAGUGUCUGCCUUAUCAACUUUCGAUGGUACGCUAUACGCCUACCAUGGUAGUAACGGGUAACGGAGAAUAAGGGUUCGACUCCGGAGAGGGAGCCUGAGAAACGGCUACCACAUCCAAGGAAGGCAGCAGGCGCGCAAAUUACCCACUUCCAGAACGGAGAGGUAGUGACGAAAAAUAACGAGACAGUCCUCUUCGAGGUCUGUCAUCGGAAUGGGUACAAUUUAA